UACGUAGGGGGCAAGCGUUGUCCGGAUUUAUUGGGCGUAAAGAGCUCGUAGGUGGUUCGGUAAGUCGGAUGUGAAAUCUCCAGGCUCAACCUGGAGGGGUCAUUCGAUACUGCCGUGACUAGAGGUCGGGUAGGGGAGUGUGGGAAUUCCUGGUGGAGCGGUGAAAUGCGCAGAUAUCAGGAGGAACACCCGUAGCGAAGGCGG
rnacentral:rRNA from 1 species